GACGAACGCUGGCGGCGUGCUUAACACAUGCAAGUCGAACGGAAAGGCCCUGCUUUUGUGGGGUGCUCGAGUGGCGAACGGGUGAGUAACACGUGAGUAACCUGCCCUUGACUUUGGGAUAACUUCAGGAAACUGGGGCUAAUACCGGAUAGGAGCUCCUGCUGCAUGGUGGGGGUUGGAAAGUUUCGGCGGUUGGGGAUGGAUUCGCGGCUUAUCAGCUUGUUGGUGGGGUAGUGGCUUACCAAGGCUUUGACGGGUAGCCGGCCUGAGAGGGUGACCGGCCACAUUGGGACUGAGAUACGGCGCAGACUCCUACGGGAGGCAGCAGUGGGGAAUAUUGCACAAUGGGCGGAAGCCUGAUGCAGCAACGCCGCGUGCGGGAUGACGGCCUUCGGGUUGUAAACCGCUUUCGCCUGUGACGAAGCGUGAGUGACGGUAAUGGGUAAAGAAGCACCGGCUAACUACGUG
rnacentral:rRNA from 1 species